AUCCCUUCGCAGUGGCAGUAUCGUGAGCCUAUGAGGUCAAUCUGAGGUGAUUAUUGCUAGUUGAAACUUUAAUUCAAUUCCCCACUUUGAAUACCUGAAAUAUAGUCGGCAAUGGUACUUUUUGAUGGUCUCUAUGGAGA